UCUUUUCGCUAACUUGAUUGAUACUAUUUAAGGUAAGUUAUUAUUAGGUAAGUUCUAAUAAUUAGGUAAGUUCUCACCUCGGUGGAAGCGGACGUAAAACACAACUAACAAGUAGUAGUAGGUAAGUUCUUUGUUCAAUUGAUUGCAGUCAAUUAGCAGGUGAGACGUGGUCGCGAUUUGUCCUCAUGGGCAUUUAAUUGGUGUAUAGGUGAAGUCUUUUAUUACGUUUAUCGUUUUAAGCCUCGUGAUGAGUUUGCAUAUUUUGAUUGAUGGAUGAUUGGUGUAAACCUUGUCUACAUGAUUGCUAUAAAUUUGAUAGCGAUGAGUAUUCUCUUGUUUUAGACGAGUCUUCCAUGCAUUUUUAAUUUUAUCUUUGGUAUAAUAACUUAAUGAAUUAGUAAAAUACAACUAAUUCACCUGCUAAUUGACUGCAAUCAAUUGAAGAAAGAACGUCAAUCUGUAAUUAAGAAUCUAGCAGAGAGGGGAAACAUCCUCUGUCUCAAAUCACUCCUUUCUCCACAAGCCGACGAUAGACACUGGACAUCACAACUUGUCUGGGAUUUUAUUGAGAACAUAGGGAUGACCAAAUAUAUAAAAUAAUGAAUUUAAUCAAUUAACAGUAGGGUGGAGCGCAAAAAUGUCCUCUAGAAGGAAGCAUAAACCGCCCUACACAACUAAUAUAACUCCAAUAUAAUUAAUAAAUCAACUUAUAAAACCAACCAAUUAACAGUAGGAUGGAGCGCAAAAAUGUCCUCUAGAAGGAAGCGUAAACCGCCUUUACACAACUAACAUAACUCCGAUAAAAUUAAUAAAUCAACUAAUAAAACCAAUUAAUUAACAGUAGGGUGGAGCGCAAAAAUGUCCUCUAGAAGGAAGCGUAAACCUCCCUACAUUUAUAAUAAAACCAUUAAUCUACCAUUAAUAUAAUUCAUGAGUAAUUUAUUAUUCUCAUUAUUACCAUUAAUAUAAUUCAUGAGUAAUUUAUUAUUCUUAUUAUUUAUCUGCAAUUCAGUUAACAUUCUAUUUUCUUUUAUUCUCACUUACUAUUUUUUAUUAUUAGUUUAUAAUGAUUCCCCGCCCCUCCCCCCCCCCCCCCCACGAAGCCUUACUAGACAAAAAUAACCAUAAAACCACAGUAAGACCAGAUACUCUCUUUUCUCUAGCUUUCUUUUUCAGGUGCUGGAUUCUUCCUUCAGAGAACCAACAAUAAAAGGAAUGAAUAAUAGAAAUAAAGAUGUAACAACGCCACCAUACCGGACAACAUACCCAAAUGGAAGGAAGAAUGGACCAGGACUCAUACUCACCAACAAAGCCCCAAGAGGUUGUAAAUUAAUAAUCCACCAGUGCGGUAUGUGAAAAAUGUGUCUAGACAAGAUGAUGGUGAGCUUGUGACCCAGAUGGAUGAAUGAUGGAAAGACAAAUAAUAAGUGCUGUAUACAGUAUUUGGUAUAAAUCAGUCAUUGAAAGUCAUUACAGCUGAAGAUUUUAAUGACGCUCUGUACCGGUACUAACAAUGUUGAUUACAAUCAAUGGAAGGUUAAUCAAACCUAUGAAUGUGGUCGAAAAAGGUGUGGAGUUGAUUAAUAGCAACAUUGAAUGUGGGUUGAAUAUGGUGUGUUAAAGAUGCAAGAAAACCACGAAAUGUGUAAACUGUAAUGGAUUAUAGCCUGGCGCUAUCCAAAUUACAAAACACCUGCCCUUGAGUCUAUGAAUAUUUAUUUUUUAUGGCACCCACAUUUUCAUGUCGCUGCCUCUGUCCGUCCAGAUGUACCUCCGGUGAAAUUUGUUUGUGGUCACAAUUAUCCGAUUUUAAUGAAAUUUAAAUGUAUAUUUAUAUUCAAAUCAUCUGGUAUCGGAUUCAUUUUGAACUCUAACCUCAUGGAUUAUGGCCCCUUAUAUUGUGGAAAAAUUGGGUUUUUAGCAUGUGGGCCCAUCCAGAGGAUUUUGGCAUAGAAUAUUACACCUGAUUGUACGAUCCAUUGUUUUUAACUUCUGGAUCCUCUAGAAUUCUCAGUUUUAUAUGCCAAAAUUUCCCAUGCCUGAAUUAACCCCUCUUUGCUGAAGAUUUGGCUUUCGAGUUCAGAGUUAUGCCCCAUAGCCAAAAACUUUGAAUUUGAUAGGAGUUACAGUUUUUAACCGAUCCUUUUCAGAUUUGGUGUGAAGCAUUGGAUUCAUGAGAUCACAAACCCCAACGAUAUGCAGCGAUUCGAAGAUAACCUUUUCAAAAAAGCUUGUGAAUGUGAUGAGGCUACAAUGUUUUAAUUUGCCGUGUAGCAUUGAGACCAUGAGAGGACAAAUCCAAUAAAUUUCAGCAAUCCACACUUAACCCACUUUUUUGGAAAUCAUGUGAAUGUGAUAAGGCUACAAUUUUUUAAACAGAUUUUUUUCUAAUUCUAUAUGAAACAUUGGGACAAUGGGUGAUUAGCCUUAUUUAUAUUCCUUAUUCUCUUUUGCAAUAUGUGGGUGUAUCUUAGAUGGCAACCACUUGUUAAUUGUAUCAAUUGUGUUGUAAUAUUUUGAAAACAAUAAUAAAUAAUAAAUAUCAAA